UACGUAGGGUGCAAGCGUUAAUCGGAAUUACUGGGCGUAAAGCGUGCGCAGGCGGUUGUGCAAGACAGAUGUGAAAUCCCCGGGCUCAACCUGGGAAUUGCAUUUGUGACUGCACGGCUAGAGUGUGUCAGAGGGGGGUAGAAUUCCACGUGUAGCAGUGAAAUGCGUAGAGAUGUGGAGGAAUACCGAUGGCGAAGGCAGCCCCCUGGGAUAACACUGACGCUC
rnacentral:rRNA from 1 species